AGCUCCAAUAGCGUAUAUUUAAGUUGUUGCAGUUAAAAAGCUCGUAGUCGGAUUUUGGCUGAGAACGAACGGUCCGCCGUUAGGUGUGCACUGUUUGGUCUCAGCUUCCUGGUGAGGAGGUGUGCUUCACGGCCACUUAGUCACCGUGGUUACUUUGAAAAAUUAGAGUGUUCAAAGCGGGCUUACGCUUGAAUAUAUUAGCAUGGAAUAACACCAUAGGACUCCUGUCCUAUUUCGUUGGUCUCGGGACGGGAGUAAUGAUUAAGAGGAACAGUUGGGGGCAUUCGUAUUUCAUUGUCAGAGGUGAAAUUCUUGGAUUUAUGAAAGACGAACUUCUGCGAAAGCAUUUGCCAAGGAUGUUUUCAUUGAUCAAGAACGAAAGU
rnacentral:rRNA from 1 species